rnacentral:rRNA from 1 species
AACGAACGCUGGCGGCAGGCCUAACACAUGCAAGUCGAACGCUCCAGCAAUGGAGAGUGGCAGACGGGUGAGUGACACGUGGGAACCUUCCCUUUGGUUCGGAAUAGCCCAGGGAAACUUGGGGUAAUACCGGAUAAGCCCUUACGGGGAAAGAUUUAUCGCCGAAGGAUGGGCCCGCGUCGGAUUAGCUAGUUGGUGGGGUAACGGCCUACCAAGGCGACGAUCCGUAGCUGGUCUGAGAGGAUGAUCAGCCACACUGGGACUGAGACACGGCCCAGACUCCUACGGGAGGCAGCAGUGGGGAAUAUUGGACAAUGGGCGCAAGCCUGAUCCAGCCAUGCCGCGUGAGUGACGAAGGCCUUAGGGUUGUAAAGCUCUCUUGGCGGGGAAGAUAAUGACGGUACCCGCAGAAUAAGCUCCGGCUAACUUCGUGCCAGCCGCCGCCGUAACAC